AUCUAAGAAUGUUCUAAUAAUUUUAUGAUGAAUAAUUUAAUGCAUUAUGUAUAAUAAAGCUAUUUUUAAAACGGUUAGUCUGAAAUGCAACGUUAAAUCUAUGACUGGAUCUAAGAGUCAUACGGAACAGUUUCAUUGCGUCUUCAAGGCGUCUUCAUAAUUUUAUCUGUAGGGAAACUAUACUGUGACAUAACUGUGACAGAUAUGUUAUGGGGCCAAAUUCCUAUAUACUUUCGUACAGUACAUAUAUUUUGCAGAUAUUUUACAGAACUGUGACAUAUAUCUGCCACAUAUAUCUGUCAGUUUGGUAAGGGAUGGCUCUAAAAAUAAAAGCACACAUAGUUUAAAAAUAGCCAUUUUAUAGUUAUUUUGAACAAGG